AUGAAAAACCAGCAGGAAGCCAGGCGUCAUGCCAGUGGGAUGGGAUUGCGGCUGGCAGCGGGGGAGUUGUCAUGUGUCGACCCGGCACACCAGAAAAGGCUCACAUCCUUCUGCUGGGCCUCUGCGCUGCCUGUGAUCUCUUCUGAAGCCUGGCUCCUCUGGCCAAGUGUCAAGAUACUUCGGAAAGUUCCUCCUGGUCCCCUGGUGUUUAGGAAAAUCUCACAAAAGUGUCUUAGCCUUGCGGUAAGCCUACCCCCCUGGACACCUUUCUCAGAACAGGAUGUCCUGAAUCAUUCUAGAAUUUCAAGAUCUGUAGUACCAUGAAGGGGAUGAGGGGUGGAGAGGAGCCAGAGAAACACUUUACGUAGGGACAUCUCCUUCUGGAAGUCAACAGCCAGUGCUCAAAAUCCCAAAUGUUGUUGAUCUUCGCGUAUCUCCAAGGCCUUCAGACGUAAUGCUUGGCUGUGGUGGAACCAGUUUUUAUUUUUGUCUCCCCAAUCCACCUCAGACUGGCACUUCUAUAAAAUACAAUUCUGAAUGAAUGACUAGAAAAACAAAGACUUACAAAAUACAACCUCCACGACUGUGCAUUCGUAUGUUGCAACAUCAAAAUGCCAUGUGCACUUCUAAAUGCUGACUGUCCCUUCUGUACAUAUCCCACUGAGGAGGGUGAUAAAUGUCUGUGCACGGAGCACACUUAGAGUACACGGUACAGGUCAAUGAUCAGCUCAGUUAAGGUAAGAAUCCUGAAAGUGUUCUUUGUUCUUUGGUAUGUGAAUCUACGGCCAGAGACUUUCUCAGUCAACAAAAGGAAAGCAGCCUUGAUGGUUUAUUAUUCACUCAGGCCUCGUUAUGGGGGAAAGGGAACUUUCUCCAACAGCUGAAGGAUCCCCAAAGCCCCCAUCUCUCUGGCAGGAGACAGAGGUGGCUUUGCUUGGUUUGGUUAUUCAGAACUGCCAAGAAAGGGAGGAAGCAGCAACUCACACCUUGAGGGGAACUGGAGGUGGGUUUGGUUCAGAGAUGGUGAGGAUGGGCCUUGUCUACUCCCCCAUCUGCAGGGAAGCUGGUUCAAGUAAAGGAGUCUUUGAGCCACAUUUGCUUUAAGAUUCUGUUGGGAUGAAUGCGCCAAAGUCAAAGUCAUGACCACUCUUACAAGAAAACCCAGCGGGAGUAAACCUAAACUUACAAAGUGGUUAUUGGUCAUUAGGAUGGCUCAAGUGUUUCCUAUGUGUCAUGCACAGUGCUGAGAGCUCUCAAGGGCUUAUCCCCAUUAUCCUAUUAGGUUUUUCCCGUCAUUAUAAUGGUCACUUUACAGAUCAAGGAUCUGGCUGGAAGGAGCCAGAGUGCCCUGCCCAGGAGGUGCAGCUGGUGAAUGGCAGAGCUGGGAUUUGAACACAGACCGUCUGACUUCAAAGCACCUUUUCUCAGUGCAUCACGUCACCUUCUAGAUCCAUUAGAGAGAUUAAUUACGACUUUGUGGGAAAAGAUUCCCGGGCCCGAGCCUCCCCAGAGUCAACGGUAACUUCUGUGCGUGUCCCUGUGAUGCUAGGGUGAGAACAGAACCACAUUUUGAGCAGUGGUUCUCAAACUCCAGUGUGCCAGCAGCAGAUUCACCCAGGGGGCUGCUUAUAACACAGUGCUGGGCUCUUCCCCGCCAACAGUGGGAUUCAGGGAGGUGAGAACAGAGGAUUUGCAUUCCUAACAGGCAGCAGGUGAUGCUGAGGCUCCCCAUUGGAGAGACAGGUGGGUCUAAGUGCUGACAUGUUGUCUGAAUAGGGGGAUUGUUCCCUCGGUGAGGCAUACUGGGGAGGCGGGAGGCCAGUGACAUCUGUCCACUCCAGGGGCUUCCCACCACCCCUUUCUUCUUGAGGACUUGCCUUUUAUUCUAAAGCACCAGACAGGGGAUCCCUGGGUGGCCCAGCUGGAGUCCUGGGAUCGAGUCCCAUGUCAGGCUCCCUGCAUGGAGCCUGCUUCUCCCUCUGCCUGUGCCUCUGCCUCUCUCUCUCAUUCUCUCUGUGGGUGUGUCUCUCAUCUCUCAUGAAUAAAUAAAUAAAAUCUUAAAAAAAAAAAAAAAAGCACCAGACAGUCUAAUUGAGCCCAGUCCUAACAGUGAGCUUGGGAGUAACAAGGCUCAAGAGCAUAUGGCCUCAUUGGAGAAAUUGCACAACGGCGCCCUGGCCAGUGGCAGACACACCAUAGGUGUUUGCUAAAUGCCCAGGUCGAUUCUCCCCAGUUGACAAAUCCUGUGACUUCC
rnacentral:lncRNA from 1 species